AGAGCAAGAUUAAGAGUGUGCACUACACAAGGUGUCCAAAAGAUCUUCGGAUAAUUACCUUGAAUAAUUGAUCCAGCUGCACUACAAACUGGAGCAUUAUCAGUAAUUACCUGAAUUACAUUAUUAGGACCCACUUCAUCAAUCACUUCACUAAUUAAUUUGGCAAUAUGAUACUUGUCCUUGGUCUCACCCUCACAAUUAACAGCUUUUAUAAACAUAGCUCCACCAUUACAUGCUGCCAUAAAAUUAAUGAGAGGCCUCCUUUGUGCAUCAGUCCAUCCAUCAGAUACUAUACUCAACCCCUUCUCAUCCCAUGAUUUUUUAGUUGGUUCCAAUAACCUUUCAAUAUUUGCCCUUUCUUUUUGAAGUAAGGUAGUCCUCAACAAAUUAUAUCCAGGAGGGACAUACCCAACAAUUUGAUUCUCAGCAGCAUAUUGAAAAGCAUCCACAAAGUAUGGAUUCCUAGCCAAAUGGAAAGGCAAACCGGCUGAAUAGAACAUACGAGCAAUUAAAGAAUGUGGCUGAUAUGCAGUGCAGGGGACGAAUUGAAAAUAGAUGCUUGCUGAUCAGUGAUCUCUGUAUAAAA